rnacentral:rRNA from 1 species
AUUGAACGCUGGCGGCAGGCCUAACACAUGCAAGUCGAGCGGAUGAGUGGAGCCUGCUCCAUGAUUCAGCGGCGGACGGGUGAGUAAUGCCUAGGAAUCUGCCUGGUAGUGGGGGACAACGUUUCGAAAGGAACGCUAAUACCGCAUACGUCCUACGGGAGAAAGUGGGGGAUCUUCGGACCUCACGCUAUCAGAUGAGCCUAGGUCGGAUUAGCUAGUUGGUGAGGUAAAGGCUCACCAAGGCGACGAUCCGUAACUGGUCUGAGAGGAUGAUCAGUCACACUGGAACUGAGGCACGGUCCAGACUCCUACGGGAGGCAGCAGUGGGGAAUAUUGGACAAUGGGCGAAAGCCUGAUCCAGCCAUGCCGCGUGUGUGAAGAAGGUCUUCGGAUUGUAAAGCACUUUAAGUUGGGAGGAAGGGCAGUAAGUUAAUACCUUGCUGUUUUGACGUUACCAACAGAAUAAGCACCGGCUAACUUCGUG